UAGGGAAUCUUCGGCAAUGGGGGCAACCCUGACCGAGCAACGCCGCGUGAGUGAAGAAGGUUUUCGGAUCGUAAAGCUCUGUUGUAAGAGAAGAACGUGUGUGAGAGUGGAAAGUUCACACAGUGACGGUAACUUACCAGAAAGGGACGGCUAACUACGUGCCAGCAGCCGCGGUAAUACGUAGGUCCCGAGCGUUGUCCGGAUUUAUUGGGCGUAAAGCGAGCGCAGGCGGUUUAAUAAGUCUGAAGUUAAAGGCAGUGGCUUAACCAUUGUUCGCUUUGGAAACUGUUAAACUUGAGUGCAGAAGGGGAGAGUGGAAUUCCAUGUGUAGCGGUGAAACGCGUAGAUAUAUGGAGGAACACCGGUGGCGAAAGCGGCUCUCUGGUCUGUAACUGACGCUGAGGCUCGAAAGCGUGGGGAGCAAACAGG
rnacentral:rRNA from 1 species